rnacentral:lncRNA from 1 species
ACCCCGGCCCAGGACAAGGUUGUUCCUGGACCUCUGGGAGGGAGAGUGAAACCAUUAGCUUGGGGUGAGGGCAGGGAAGAAUCCCUCUUCGGUGUCACUCAUUACCUUAUUGGGAGGAUGGGAGCCUCCUAGCAGCAGCGGGGGGGCGGCACUCUGGUUUGCCCCACCCCCACCCCAUUGUGAUCUAGGACCCCACAGCUGCCCCCUUCCUGUGGCUUUGUGUGUGUUAUGUGUGCGUCAAGGGGGCUGUCUCUCAGAGGGACUAAGGGGUGGCUUCUAGCUUCUUGAGGCUCUCCAGUGCUGGGGGCAGGGCACUCAUGGCUGAGGUGCUUCCUGCCUCUUGAGAAACAAGCUGCCUUUUGGCUGUGACCGUGGUGCCGAUGACCCCCAUUAGCUGUUUUCCUAGAAGUGAAAAUGCAUUUGCUCUGAGUUCUGUCAUCCCUUGUGACCCAGGACUCUCUGAAGCAACGCCAAGAGCACAGGGCUGGCCACCAAACGGAGCCCUGCUAACCUGCCCUCGAGGGCCCUUGGACUUGAUGCCAACCUUGAGCCUCAGUGCCCUCAGCCUGCAUUUGUGGAGUCUGAACUGGGUCCACAGCUGUUCUGCCUCAGUGUGGGGCCAAGGCUAA